UACAGAGGACCCAAGCGUUGUUCGGAUUCACUGGGCGUAAAGGGUGCGUAGGUGGUGAGGUAAGUCGGAUGUGAAAGCUCGGAGCUCAACUCCGAAAUGGCAUUGGAAACUACCUUGCUCGAGGGUUGGAGGGGGGACUGGAAUACUUGGUGUAGCAGUGAAAUGCGUAGAUAUCAAGUGGAACACCAGUGGCGAAGGCGAGUCCCUGGACAACUCCUGACACUGAGGCACGAAAGCUAGGGGAGCAAACAGG
rnacentral:rRNA from 1 species